UACGUAGGGUGCGAGCGUUGUCCGGAAUUAUUGGGCGUACAGCGCGUGUAGGCGGCUAAGUAAGUCGGGCGUGAAAUCCCACGGCUCAACCGUGGAAGUGCACUCGAAACUGCGUAGCUAGAGUCCUGGAGAGGAAGGUGGAAUGCUUGGUGUAGAGGUGAAAUUCGUAGAUAUCAAGCGGAACACCGGUGGCGAAGGCGGCCUGCUGGACAGUGACUGACGCUGAGACGCGAAAGCGUGGGGAGCAAACAGG
rnacentral:rRNA from 1 species